ACGAACGCUGGCGGCAGGCUUAACACAUGCAAGUCGAACGCCCCGCAAGGGGAGUGGCAGACGGGUGAGUAACGCGUGGGAACGUGCCCUUCGCUUCGGAAUAGCCCCGGGAAACUGGGAGUAAUACCGGAUACGCCGUAUUGGGAAAGAUUUAUCGGCGAAGGAUCGGCCCGCGUUAGAUUAGCUAGUUGGCGGUGUAAUGGACCACCAAGGCUACGAUCUAUAGCUGGUCUGAGAGGAUGAUCAGCCACACUGGGACUGAGACACGGCCCAGACUCCUACGGGAGGCAGCAGUGGGGAAUCUUGGACAAUGGGCGCAAGCCUGAUCCAGCCAUGCCGCGUGAGUGAAGAAGGCCUUAGGGUUGUAAAACUCUUUCGCCGGAGAAGAUAAUGACGGUAUCCGGAGAAGAAGCCCCGGCUAACUUCGU
rnacentral:rRNA from 1 species